UACGGGGGGGGCAAGCGUUGUUCGGAAUUACUGGGCGUAAAGGGCUCGUAGGCGGCCAACUAAGUCGGACGUGAAAUCCCCAGGCUCAACCUGGGAACUGCGUCUGAUACUGGAUGGCUUGAAUCCGGGAGAGGGAUGCAGAAUUCCAGGUGUAGCGGUGAAAUGCGUAGAUAUCAGGAGGAACACCGGUGGCGAAGGCGGUUCUCUGGGCAUGUCCUGACGCUGAGGAGCGAAAGUGUGGGGAGCGAACAGG
rnacentral:rRNA from 1 species